CUCGGAAAACUACGGGAUUUGAAAGUUUCUUUGUUUGUGUACUUCCUCGCAUGUUUAACUAAAUACAAGAUUCGAAUUUGGCUGCUAAUAUUACAUAGCUUAUCGAUAUCUUAUCUCUUUCUCUACAUGCUUGAAGAUUUUCUUGCGUUUUCUCAAAAUCCAAACACUGGAUUAAUUUCUUUCUUUUUCGUAAUAGAUUGAAAUAUAAAUAUGGUUGAGAUCUUUUGUGAUGAUUUUGAUUUGCUUGGUUAUUUUGUUUGUCUGUCUGCUUUUGGUUUCGGAAAGUUACUUUCCCUUUUCUGAAACAUUCAAGCCAAGUAAUUGGUAUUUAGUAAUCAUUUGCUCUUUUUUCUUGUUUUUUCAAACCUCAGAACUAGUCAAAAAUUCUUCCCUCUUUUAAAAAAGUAGUUAAAAAAGAAAUUUUUAAAGCUUGGAAUUUAUUGGUUGUCGCAAUUAUUCGCUAAAUUUUUUUUAGG
rnacentral:misc_RNA from 1 species